GAAAAGGGGGCACAGAGAAUUUGUCUUUGCUGAUAAUGGAGUGCAUCUGAAGCCGUUCACUUUAAAACUUUUGUUGGCUUUUUUUUAAUUUGUGUGAAAUGGCUGAUGAUUAUAGCCUUAAUGUAGCUCACCUUGGCAGAUUGUGCAUCCAGCAGUCUCUUACAGGUCCAUUGAUUUAAUGUUCCUGUAGUCUGA